GCCCGGAUGGCGGAACUGGUAGACGCAAGGGACUUAAAAUCCCUCGGGCGCAAGCCUGUGCGGGUUCGAUUCCCGCUCCGGGUACCA
rnacentral:tRNA from 1 species